rnacentral:rRNA from 1 species
UACGAAGGGGGCUAGCGUUGCUCGGAAUUACUGGGCGUAAAGCGCACGUAGGCGGCUUCUUAAGUCGGUGGUGAAAUCCUGGAGCUCAACUCCAGAACUGCCUUCGAUACUGGGAAGCUCGAGUCCGGGAGAGGUGAGUGGAACUGCGAGUGUAGAGGUGAAAAUUCGUAGAUAUUCGGAAGAACACCAGUGGCGAAGGCGACUCACUGGCCCGAUACUGACGCUGAGGCGCGGACAGC